rnacentral:rRNA from 1 species
GACGAACGCUGGCGGCGUGCUUAACACAUGCAAGUCGAACGGAAAGGCCCUGCUUUUGUGGGGUGCUCGAGUGGCGAACGGGUGAGUAACACGUGAGUAACCUGCCCUUGACUUUGGGAUAACUUCAGGAAACUGGGGCUAAUACCGGAUAGGAGCUCCUGCUGCAUGGUGGGGGCUGGAAAGUUUCGGCGGUUGGGGAUGGACUCGCGGCUUAUCAGCUUGUUGGUGGGGUAGUGGCUUACCAAGGCUUUGACGGGUAGCCGGCCUGAGAGGGUGACCGGCCACAUUGGGACUGAGAUACAGCCCAGACUCCUACGGGAGGCAGCAGUGGGGAAUAUUGCACAAUGGGCGGAAGCCUGAUGCAGCAACGCCGCGUGCGGGAUGACGGCCUUCGGGUUGUAAACCGCUUUCGCCUGUGACGAAGCGUGAGUGACGGUAAUGGGUAAAGAAGCACCGGCUAACUACGUGCCAGCAGCCGCGGUGAUACGUAGGGUGCGAGCGUUGUCCGGAUUUAUUGGGCGUAAAGGGCUCGUAGGUGGUUGAUCGCGUCGGAAGUGUAAUCUUGGGGCUUAACCCUGAGCGUGCUUUCGAUACGGGUUGACUUGAGGAAGGUAGGGGAGAAUGGAAUUCCUGGUGGAGCGGUGGAAUGCGCAGAUAUCAGGAGGAACACCAGUGGCGAAGGCGGUUCUCUGGGCCUUUCCUGACGCUGAGGAGCGAAAGCGUGGGGAGCGAACAGGCUUAGAUACCCUGGUAGUCCACGCUGUAAACGGUGGGUACUAGGUGUGGGGUCCAUUCCACGGGUUCCGUGCCGUAGCUAACGCUUUAAGUACCCCGCCUGGGGAGUACGGCCGCAAGGCUAAAACUCAAAGGAAUUGACGGGGCCCCGCACAGGCGGCGGAGCAUGCGGAUUAAUUCGAUGCAACGCGUAGAACCUUACCUGGGUUUGACAUGGAUCGGGAGUGCUCAGAGAUGGGUGUGCCUCUUUUGGGGUCGGUUCACAGGUGGUGCAUGGCUGUCGUCAGCUCGUGUCGUGAGAUGUUGGGUUAAGUCCCGCAACGAGCGCAACCCCUGUUCACUGUUGCCAGCACGUUAUGGUGGGGACUCAGUGGAGACCGCCGGGGUCAACUCGGAGGAAGGUGGGGAUGACGUCAAGUCAUCAUGCCCCUUAUGUCCAGGGCUUCACGCAUGCUACAAUGGCUGGUACAGAGAGUGGCGAGCCUGUGAGGGUGAGCGAAUCUCGGAAAGCCGGUCUCAGUUCGGAUUGGGGUCUGCAACUUGACCUCAUGAAGUCGGAGUCGCUAGUAAUCGCAGAUCAGCAACGCUGCGGUGAAUACGUUCCCGGGGCUUGUACACACCGCCCGUCAAGUCAUGAAAGUUGGUAACACCCGAAGCCGGUGGCCUAACCGUUGUGGGGGAGCCGUCGAAGGUGGGACUGGUGAUUAGGACU